UUACAUUACACUAAAUCAUUGUGUAUCCCUCCGUGGUCCAUUCGAAAGUAGUGCCUAUUUCUAAAGAGUUCCUUUUCUCUUCUUGAAUAUAAGCCAUUUAACAAUGUGAGACAUGUCUUUUGUGGUUAUUUGUAAUAUCCUGUAUGUGUCUGGAGUACUUUGAUGCCUUGGAUUGGAAGCUAACUUAAAAGAUGAACUUUUGAGGGUGUGUUUUCUAUUGUGUGGGGCUUUUGUCGAAAUUAGGAUUCCGAAACGCGUUUUUCUACGGUGGGUUCAUUCGACAGCGAUUUACUUUCUUAGAAGUUGCGAGACGGUAUGUUUUUGAUUGCAAUUAUUGGAAGAUGACAGAUCCAUCUUUAAAAUGAUACCAGGUUCGGAAAAAUUGAUACGUCGGAAAGGCAAGAAAAAUGCUGUGAAAGUUGUCAGUUUUAUAAUGGGACCCUAUGGGAAUCGGAAUUAGUGUAAUAUAACCUUUAAAAAGCACAUUUACUGCAAUGUCAAGGUCACAUGGAUUCGUCUGCAAGCGAGACAAGUAGAAAAUGAAUUUUAAUGAAUGUUUUGAUGAUUUGGGUGCUAAAAUAGAUGAGAGAUGUCAAUAUUUUGGUCCAAAUGGAUGUUUUAGGUGGUUUUGGACUGUUCCGGAUGGGUGGGGGACCUGGUAUGGACAAGUAAGGGUAACAUUUCCAACAAAUCUUAAAUGUAAAUAUUAUUAUGUCCAUAGAUUGAAGUUUCAGGUGGAGAGCAAGAUGAAAAAUAUGCCAAAUUACAUGCAUGCAACCCAUUUAUGCCAUUUUUCUCUUUGUUUGUAGGCCUGACCGUUUGUCCUUGAGCCGUAGAUGGUCAACAAUCCGCUAGCUGUCUUGCUCUGACUGGUGCACUGGACAUGAUUUCAAUAGUCAGCCUGACCAUGAUUGAGCUUAAGGAUUGUGCUGCGGAUGCAGCCUGUGCAGUUCCGGGAGAAAGUCACUGUCUUGUGCAAUGCGGUCUGGUAUCAGGUCUGGAUGAUCCUUGCCUGACCGCGGGUUUGUGUACACCUCAAUCCGACUCUGUGUCCUGAACAGAGGCCGCAGUGGUGCAGCGCUUGUGGACGAUCCAUCAACAUCCUGAAAGGUCAACACUACACCAAGCAGGGAAAAUUGAUCCUGAUAGUCAUCCCCAGGCCUGACCGUUUGUCCUUGAGCCGUAGAUGGUCAACAAUCCGCUAGCUGUCUUGCUCUGACUGGUGCACUGGACAUGAUUUCAAUAGUCAGCCUGACCAUGAUUGAGCUUAAGGAUUGUGCUGCGGAUGCAGCCUGUGCAGUUCCGGGAGAAAGUCACUGUCUUGGGCAAUGCGGUCUGGUAUCAGGUCUGGAUGAUCCUUGCCUGACCGCGGGUUUGUGUACACCUCAAUCCGACUCUGUGUCCUGAACAGAGGCCGCAGUGGUGCAGCGCUUGUGGACGAUCCAUCAACAUCCUGAAAGGUCAACACUACACCAAGCUGGGAAAAUUGAUCCUGAUAGUCAUCCCCAGGUAGUGGAAUGAAUGUACACUGAACUACAGAGGAAUCACACCCAAAUGACUUUCCUGCCACGACAUUAGUGUGGCCACUCGCGUAGGGAUCCUUAGCCAACGUGCUCUUUUGCAUGGUGACUGUGGGCAUUUUUGCAAAACUUACGCUUUCAACACUGGAUUUUAAAGGGAAUACUUAAUAAAAUGUUGCUAACAGGACUUAUUUAUAUGAGAGAGACUAUCUGGAUGCGCAUUAAGUGUCACUUUGUGUCGUAAGCUGUUGAAGGAGCGAUUUGCGCCUUUUUAAGUGUUAAUUUUGGGUAGCCGGCUUGUAUCGGCUUGAAAGCUGCAAAUUAUGCCUCUCAUCAUAAUAGCAUUAAUUUUUGUAAAUGCAAUGUGUAUGUUUAGAUUGUAAGUGAAGCUUUUAAUAAUAAUUUUCUUAAAAAACAUGAUUUUAUAUGCUGUCAGUGAGUUUUUUAUUGAAAA